rnacentral:tRNA from 1 species
GGCGCGGUAGCCAAGUGGUAAGGCAGCGGUCUGCAAAACCGCCAAUCGCGGGUUCGAUUCCCGCUCGCGCCU